rnacentral:sRNA from 1 species
UUUUCCGAUUAGACAGUGACCUGUCAUGACGGACACAAUGACUGAGACGUCUUUUCUAGCCAAUGACAUCAAAGCAGUGUAUAUAUAUGUUGCCGAUUUUGACUCAUUUUCCCAUAGAUGCUCAAUAAUUAUGCGAUCUUUGCGAAAUCUUGAACAUGAAAGUCUCAAAUUUAAUUAAAAAUUUUUAUAGGGGCAACAUCGAUUAACAGAUGACCGAAACCGGCACGAGUAUUAUCUAUUGUUACCAUUUACAUACAUACGGCAAGAGAAUGUGGGCGUCAAUCUGGCAACAUCGUACAAGAUGAGAGAAUACGAAAAAAAGAGAAAGAGAUCAGUAUUACCAUCGUUUAAAAAUAGAGGGUAUAAAAGAAUUAAAAUACAAUAAGUUGCGGCAUUUGUAAAAGACGAUUGGGGAUAAUUUUGAACGACAUCUGGCAUCCAAAAGGCGCAAUUGAAAUACUGUAUCUUUACAUAUUGAAUACCUUUGAAGGUAUUAUUUUAAAAUCUUAAUAAUAAAUAAUAAAAAAGAUAACUAUGGAAGAUCAUA